GGGGUUGUGGCUCAGUGGAAGAGUGCUUGCCUAGCAGGCAUGAGGCACUGGGUUUGAUCCUCAGCACCACA
rnacentral:tRNA from 1 species